GCUCACUUUGGCAGCACAUAUACCAAAACUGGAAUGAUACAGAGAUUACCAAGGUCCCUGCACAUGGAUAACACCCAAAUUUAUGAAGCAUUCAUAUUUUUA